GACGAACGCUGGCGGCGUGCUUAACACAUGCAAGUCGAACGGAAAGGCCCUGCUUGCAGGGUACUCGAGUGGCGAACGGGUGAGUAACACGUGGGUGAUCUGCCCUGCACUUCGGGAUAAGCCUGGGAAACUGGGUCUAAUACCGGAUAGGAGCCAUUUUUAGUGUGAUGGUUGGAAAGUUUUUUUCGGUGUAGGAUGAGCUCGCGGCCUAUCAGCUUGUUGGUGGGGUAAUGGCCUACCAAGGCGGCGACGGGUAGCCGGCCUGAGAGGGUGGACGGCCACAUUGGGACUGAGAUACGGCCCAGACUCCUACGGGAGGCAGCAGUGGGGAAUAUUGCACAAUGGGCGCAAGCCUGAUGCAGCGAGGCCGCGUGGGGGAUGACGGCCUUCGGGUUGUAAAAUCAUUUCGCUAGGGACGAAGCUUUUUGUGACGGUACCUAGAUAAGAAGCCCCGGCUAACUACGUG
rnacentral:rRNA from 1 species